AUUGAACGCUGGCGGCAGGCCUAACACAUGCAAGUCGAGCGGAUGAAGGGAGCUUGCUCCUGGAUUCAGCGGCGGACGGGUGAGUAAUGCCUAGGAAUCUGCCUGGUAGUGGGGGAUAACGUCCGGAAACGGGCGCUAAUACCGCAUACGUCCUGAGGGAGAAAGUGGGGGAUCUUCGGACCUCACGCUAUCAGAUGAGCCUAGGUCGGAUUAGCUAGUUGGUGGGGUAAAGGCCUACCAAGGCGACGAUCCGUAACUGGUCUGAGAGGAUGAUCAGUCACACUGGAACUGAGACACGGUCCAGACUCCUACGGGAGGCAGCAGUGGGGAAUAUUGGACAAUGGGCGAAAGCCUGAUCCAGCCAUGCCGCGUGUGUGAAGAAGGUCUUCGGAUUGUAAAGCACUUUAAGUUGGGAGGAAGGGCAGUAAGUUAAUACCUUGCUGUUUGGACGUUACCAACAGAAUAAGCACCGGCUACUUCGUG
rnacentral:rRNA from 1 species